GACCUAGCGGUGAAAUGGUAUCACACCUGCAUGAUGUGGGGAAACUCGAGUAUAUUUUGCAGGAGAUCCCUGUUUGAUUCGGGGCUGGGUCA